GAGGGAGGGAGGGGAAAAUAGGAAAAGGGACUAGAUUGCAACAAAAUCGAUCGCGAUCAGCAAAUUGAGAUCAAAUCAGGGGUCUCUCCCGUCGACCCGAAGGCGCCAACCCUUGCCCCCAUUCGCAGCUUGCGAAGACAGUAUACACACUAUUCGCAGCUGGAUGAAGCAUCUGGCAUGAACUGCUGCAUCCGCAUCCAUUGACUGCAUCAUCUCUGGUGCUGCUGCUGUUGCUGUUGCCACUCGAGAAUCGCAGAACGGAGCGCCUUGUUUGGGGUGAGCUUGCGGCUUGCAAGUCUCAGGUUUGUCAUGGGCGAUGUGUCAGCUCCGUCAAGCCAUCCCCUGAUUGCUUCGGCUUCGUAUGUGAACCCAUCUUCCGCCAUGUGGGGGUCACUCAUAACCUCCUGUUCGCCGUGCAUCAGACAAAGAUGGAUGAAGUGUGAUGGAGGUGUGGCAUCAGAGGGUGAUGCAAAUUGGGAUGACCCAGUGGUCAGGCAAGUGGCUUUCAUCAGUUGGUCGACCACCACCCAUACUUCCCCGGCGAGUUCUGGCUGGCGUCCCCAGCUCAAGUUGAUGCAUCUAAGCCCAAGAUGUGCCAUCUUGUUUGCCUGUGUAAAUGGCCAGUCCCCUGCGGAGGCAUCAAUGAUAGAAUGCAGGGUGACGUUGAAGAUUGUUGGUUGGCAAGUCAGGUUGUCUGUGGAGGUGGCAGAUCCCCAAGUCUCCCAGCUUGCUGACGAAGUUGGCAUCAAUGAGAAUAUUCCCCAGAUUUAAAUCACCGUGAACAAUUGGAUAAGGCUUGUGUGAGUGGAUGAAAGCCAACGCUGAGCAUAUCUCCCCAAUGAUCCUUGUGCGCACCUUCCAUGUCAGAGGUGGCAUGUUUUUCUUGCAUAAAAGCCAGUCCUCGAGGCUACCAUUUGGGAGGAAUUCGUACACUAGCGCGAAGUCAUCUGGGCAUGCUCCUAUCAGUGUUAUGAGAUUAGGAUGCCUGACUCUACUGAGGACAGCAACCUGCAGGAGUGAUGCCCCAGGUACAACAAUAAUGUCACUGUUCAUUCUGAAAAGGGUGCUAUAGAAUCAAAGGGAAGUGAUGUCCAUUACCUCUUGAUAAAACUUUGCUUGUCCUUUCAAGCUUCGUGGAUGGAACAACUUUAUUGCUACAUUUGUGUUGCGGAUGAAACCUUUAUAGAUCCUUGCAAAUUCAUCUUCACGAAUCUUAAGUUCUUCAUCAAAUCCGUCGGUUGCUUUCUGCAGCUCGGCAAAUGAGAACUCAGUGUCCGGAGUUUCAGUUAUCAUUGAGGCUCUUUGCUUGUUCUUUUGGUGUAACUCUUUGGCUUCUGUCACUGCAGCGUCUCUCUCAUGGAGUAAAUUUUCAUUCUUUGCUUGGAGCUCUUGGAGAAGCUGUUUGCUGUUUGCAAGCUUUUCUUCAUGAACGUUCACAGCAGACUUGAUCUCAGUCAUAUGUUUGCUAUGAAUCUCAUGUAGCUUUCUUUUUGCUGCUUGUAUUUCUUCCUUCUGCCUUGUCAUUGUCUCCUCCAUUCUUUCCUUUUCUUUCAACUGAUGUACAUGCUGAUGCUCCAGGUCUUUAAUCUGUAUGGGCACUCAACAUUUUGGUAAAGUCCUGCAUUUUGUAUUAUGGACCAAUGCAGAAAAGGAAGAAGAAAACUUACCCUUUGAAGAUAUGAGAGUAGAUCCUUUUCGGCUUUUCUUCUUCUGUUAGUUUCUUCAGACGCAUCCUUUUCAAAUGUAGUGAUAUAUUUCUGAACAAUAUUUAACAGUCCACUGAAUCUUAAUAGAGAGUGUCGAACUUACCACUUGUUGCAGUCUGAGCCGCUGCUCUUUUACAUCUUGUAAGUCGUAAUACAGUUGAUCUCGUUGCCUCUUUGUUUCUUCAAUCUCUGUCCUCUGUUUUGCUAUCUUCUCCUCCAUGUAUUCCCUCUGUGCCUUCUCGUUUUGGAGCAAACUCUCCAUCUCUUUAACCUGUAAGGAUACUUUUUUUUUCUAUCACGAACUUCCUUAGUUGAACCAUAGACUCCUAAUACAAAGCGCUUACUCUCUGAAGUGUCGAAAGCAGAUCCAUUUUGAUCUUUUGGCGUUUCUUAGAUUCUUCACAUGAUUGUUUCAUAAAAUAAUUGGUAAUUUCUUCAAUGUGAUCUUUUGCAGCAGACUUAAUUUGUGUUAUACGUUGUUCAAGCAUAAGGUUAUGCUUCUUUGAAUCCUGUAAUUCAUCAGAUAAUGUGCAUUGUUUUCUUCUCAUUUUGUCAAUCUGCAGCCUCUGUCUAGCAAGAGUCUUCUCAAUUUCUUUUCGCUGGCUCACCUCUUGAAGAUAUGAAUCUUCUGAUUCUUUAAUCUGCAAGGAGAUUUUGGUGGUGUGUGUGUGAUGUUCAAUAUGAUGUUCAGAGGGUCUACUUUCAUUAUUUUACAUUACAGAUAAUGCAAGCAGCAUUGUGAAUCUAUAAAACAAAUCUUACUCUUUGAAGUGCUGAAUGCAGGUCCAUUUCAGUUUUGCGUAUUUUUUUAGAUUCAUCAUCAGCUUGAUCCUUCAGCAGCUUAGCUUCAAUACACAGAUCUUGAAGUUUCUCGUACAUUUCUUCAUCUACACUGGGUUGGUCUUCCUGUGAGAUACCAUCAGCAAAAGUCUUAGUUUAUUUUGGCACCUUAAUAUAUAGUGAUAUCAUUCUCACUUAUAAUACCGUGCUUACCUGAUUAUAUGCUGAUGCUAGCAGCAAGUAGACAUUAUCAGAUUCUUGUGUAGGAGAAUGCACCACUGGCAUUAGUUCAUUUGUGUCUCCAAUAAUUGGAGGUAGAGUAGCAGUUCCGGAGAAAUUAGCAUCAUCAUCAAUUCUUGAUGAUCCAUACACUAUCAUCCCCCAGUCUGGAGUUACCAUUACAGUUAAAGACCAGUGUGAUUACCUUCAAAAGUAAAUUGGACUGCAUGGCUAGAGCCUAGAGGUAGUCUUAUUUGCUCGGAUAUUUAUUUUGUGUCAUGAAUAUUGAUAUUAUUCUCUAUAAACUUGGUCAAACCUAUAGUAGUUUGACUACGGACAAAACUAGAAUUGCAUUCUUUACGGGACAGAGGGAGUAAUAAUUUUAAUGUCUUGAGUCUAUUUGUGAACUCUACUGAUGCCUAAAUUUCAGCCUUCAUUCUUCUAAAUGAAGGUUUUAUUUGUAAGCAUAGAAUCAUUUGCUUGCGUAUUUAAGCCCAAAAACCACAAAGACAAUUAUUUUCCAAGAAUGACGUUAUGUUUCAAUAUGUAUAUAGGAUAAUCACCUCCGAAAAGAUAAUCCCAAUCCGUCAUUUCUGUUGCAACCAAUGAGCUUGAAGUGUAUCCUUUGGAGCUUGAUACUUCGUAUUCCAACUCAGUGAGUUCCAUUGAUCCCAUUUGACUUGAAAUGUUGUAUGUCGUUGGUGCCUCUGGUGCAUUUUUUGCAGGUGAUGGAGGUAUGACAGGAAGGUCUUGAGUUGCUUCCCUGUAAGUUUUGAUAAGCGUGGUUAAUAAAAUUUUUAGACAUUUGAAACACCAGUGCACUGAAAUUAUUGCUCACUAUAUUUUGAACUGGGACCAUAUCAUCAGAGGUAGAGUUCUUGUUAAGGAGACAGUAGAUUGUGAUCACCCAGUUGAACUCGAAUGUACUAUUUGUAGAUAUAGAAGCCUGGAGGUACUAAAAUUCCAGGUGUCAAUUGAACCUCGCCUUUACCUGGUACAUAUCAAAUGCCCUUUACAAGUAAACCAUAUCUUGCACCAUGGAGCAGCUGUCUCCGUAAGCCUGAGUGCUGUCAUUGACUUUGGUGUGUUCAUUUCUCUACAAUUCGAGACCAUCUGUUAGAAUGUGCCAUCAUAAGGAAUACCCUUAAAAACUUCUUGGUCUAAGCAUGCUAUCUUCACACAAAUUUCUUGAAGGAGAGAAA